CAGCCCCGCGGUAAUACGAAGGGUGCAAGCGUUACUCGGAAUUACUGGGCGUAAAGCGUGCGUAGGUGGUGGUUUAAGUCCGUUGUGAAAGCCCUGGGCUCAACCUGGGAAUUGCAGUGGAUACUGGGUCACUAGAGUGUGGUAGAGGAUAGUGGAAUUUCCGGUGUAGCAGUGAAAUGCGUAGAGAUCGGAAGGAACAUCUGUGGCGAAGGCGACUAUCUGGGCCAACACUGACACUGAGGCACGAAAGCGUGGGGAGCAAACAGGAUUAGAUACCCGUGUAGUCCCUGUCUCUUAUACC
rnacentral:rRNA from 1 species